GUGAACUGAAAUUGAUCACUUGGACUGGUGAGAUGGCAUUGGUACAUGCCACCUUGAUGGGAUUGAAUUGGAGUCCCCUGGUAUGUUUCUAACUCUACCAUUUGGGGCAAGUCAGCUUGAGCAUGUCCCAAAUUGUACAUCUCUUCCCUCUCUUAUUCCCACUCUUAUGUUUAACAGGGAUCACAUUUCAGUUAAUUUCAACACUUAAGAAUAACUGUGUAUUAAUUACAGAAUUAAACCAGUCAUAUUAAGUAGAGCAGACAAAAAACUACUAAGAGGGAUAAUGUAUUAAGUUGUUCAUUAACAGUCAGGGCUAUGCGGAUCAAGUGACCAUUUCUCAUAGUGUCCAUUUCACUUCAACAGGUUUCCUUUUUGGUGUUCAGUCAGUUGUCACCAAUCAGGGAGAACAUAUGGUAUGUGUCCCUUUGGGACUGGCUUAUUUCACUCAGCAUGAUGUGUUCCAGAUUCCUCCAUUUUGUUGCAAAUGACUGGAUUUCAUUGUUUCUUAUUGCGGUAUAGUAUUCUAAAGAGUACAUAUCCCAUCAUUUCUUUAUCCAGUCUACCAUUGAUGGGCAUUUAGGUUGGUUCCAGGUCUUGGCUAUUGUGAAUUGAGCUGCAAUAAACAUUAGGGUGCAGACCACUUUUUUGUUUGCCAAUUUAAAUUCCUUUGGGUAAAUUCCAAGGAGUGGGAUGGCUGGGUCGAACGGUAGGGUUAUAUUCAGGUUUCUGAGGAAUCUCCAGACUGACUUCCAUAGUGGCUUGACCAGUUUGCAUUCCCACCAACAGUGGGUUAGUGUCCCUUUUUCCCCACAUCCUCGCCAGCAUCUGUUGUUGGUAGAUUUCUGUAUGUGAGCCAUUCUAACCGGGGUGAGGUGAAACCUCAUUGUGGUUUUGAUUUGCAUUUCCCUGAUUGCUAAUGACCUUGAACAUUUUUUCAUGUGCCUGUUGGCCAUGUGGCCAUUGGUAUUUCCUCCUUUGCAAAAUGUCUAUUGAGGUCCUUGGCCCAUCUCUUAAGUGGGUUGUUGGUUUUGUUUUUGUGGAGUUUCUUGAUCUCUUUGUAGAUUCUCGUUAUUAAGCCUUUAUCUGUUGCAUAGUUUGCAAAUAUUUUUCCCAUUCUGUCGGUUGCCUCUUCACUCUCCUGACUGUUUCUUUUGCAGUACAGAAACUUCUCAAUUUAUGCAAUCCCACAUGUUUAUUUUGGCUUUGACUGACUGUGCUUCCAGGGUCUUUUCCAAGCAUCUUCGGUCUUUGCCUGUUUCUAUAUCUCGGAGGUUUUCUCCAAUGUUCUCUAAUAAUUUGAUGGUGUUGGGUCAUAGAUUUAGGUCUGUCUUUAAUCCAUUUUGUGUGUAUUUUUGUGUAAGGUGAAAGGUACGGGUCUUGCUUCAUGCUUCUGCACAUGAAUGCAGCGUUUCUAGAUCCUUGAGAUGCAUUGAAAGCUCAUUUAUUUGGUGCCUUUCCAUUUUCUAGAUGUAGGCACCUAUUGCUAUAAACUUUCCUCUUAACACUGCUUUUGCUGUAUCCCAUACGUUUUGAUAUGUUGUGUUGUUAUCCUCAUUUACUGCCAGAAAUUAUUUGAUUUCUUUUUUGAUUUCUUCUAUGACCCAGUGUUCAUUCAGGAGCAUGUUUUUCAAUCUCCAUGUGGUUGCAUAUGCUCUAGGGAUUCUUGAAUUGCUAAUUUCCAACUUCAUUCCACUGUGGUCUGAGAACUGCAUCAUAUGAUUGUAAUUCUUUUGUAUUUACUGAUACUUGCUUUAUGGCCUAGUAUGUGGUCAGUUCUAGAGUAGGUUCCAGGUACUGCUGAGAAGAAUGUCAAUUCUUUAAGUGUAGGAUGAAAAGUUCUGUAGAUAUCUGUUAGAUCCAUUUGGGCUAUAGUGUUGUUUAAAUCUACUGUUUCCUUGUUGAUCUUCUGUCUGGUUGAUCUGUCUGUUUCUGAGAGUGGAGUAUUGAAGUCCCCCAGUACUAUUGUAUUGGAGUCUAAGUCUCCCUUGAAGUCCCUUAACAUAUCUUUUAAAUAAACCAGUGCCCUGUAGUUAGGUGCAUAUACAUUUAUAAUAGUUACAUCUUCCUGUUGAAUUGAUCCCUUAAGCAUUAUAUAGUGCCCCUCUUUGUCUCUCUUAACAGUUUUUCUGUUACAGUUUAUGUUGUCUGAUAUUAUGAUGGCUAUGCCCACUCUUUUUUCAUUUCUAUUGGCAUGGAAUAUCUUUUUCCAGCCUUUCACUUUCAGUCUGCCUGCAUGUUUGUUGGAAAGAUGUGCUUCUUGUAAGCAGCAAAUAGAUGGGUUUUGUUCCUUAACCCAUUCAGCCAAUCUGUGUCUUCUAACUGGAGAGUUGAGGCAAUUAACGUUCAAUGUGACUAUUGAUAAGUAGUAACUUUGCCCUGCCAUUUUCCCAAAGAUAUUUUCUAAUAUAUGCUUUGAACUUCGUGUGAUCUUUUACUCUGGUUUUCUUCCUUCUUUCAUAUUGAUGACUGCGAUUCUGAGUUUCUGUGUGUAAUACAUCUUUAAGUAACUUUUGUAGGGCUGGAACAGUGGCGACCAAUUCUUUCAAUUUCUGUUUGCUAUGAAAAGUCUUUAUUUCACCUUCAUUCACAAAUGAGAGCUUUGCAGGAUAUAAUAUUCUGGGCUGGCAGUUGUUCUCUCUUAGUACUAGGGCUAUGUCUCGCCAUUCCCUCCUAGCCUGUAGUGUUUCUGAUGAGAAGUCUGCUGUGAGUCUGAUUGGAGAUCCUCUGAGAGUAAUCUGAUACUACCCUAUUGCACAUUUUAAAAUCUUUUCUUUAUGUUUCACUGUGGUGAGUUUAAUUACGUGUCGUGGUGAGGAUCUCUUUUGGUCAUGUUUUCUAGGGGUUCUAUGAGCUUCCUGUACUAAGAUGUCUCUGUCCUUCUCCAAACCCAGGAAGUUCUCUGCUAGUAUCUCAAUAAAAAGGCCUUCUAAUGCUUUCUCUCUUUCCAUGCCUUCAGGAACUCCUAGAACUCAAAUGUUGGGUUUUAUUUAAUAGUACCCUGUAGAUUCCCAACAAUAUUUUUUAGAUUUCUAAUUUCCUCUUCUUUUCUUUGGUUUGGCUGUAUGUUUUCCUGUGCUCUGUCUUCUAAGUCCGAUAUUCCCUCUUCUGCAUCACUGACUCUGUUUUUAAGGCUCUCUAAUGUGUUUUUCAUUUGAUCUAUUGAAUUCUUCAUUUCAUUUCAAUUUCUCUUCACUAUCACAAUUUCCUGUUCUACUAGUUCUUGCAUUUCAUUUCGAUUCCUGCUUAAGAUUUCCUUUUCACAAGAGAGAUUUUCUAUCCUGUCCGGUAAGGAUUUCUGCAGUUCAAGACUUUGUUUUUGAAAACUUCUACAUGUUCUUAUCAUAAUUUUUUUGAAAUCCAUAUCUUGCAUUUCUUCUAUCUCAUCAUCUUCAUAAUCUUGUAUUGGGGUGUCUUGUUCAUUUGGGGGUGUCAUAAUGUCUUCCUUGUUGUUGUUUCCUUGGUUUCUGCAUUUGUUGCUUGGCUUUGUGGAGAUAUUCAUUGGUUUCUUCUUUCCUCGCUGUGGAAUUUUUUUCUCAUUCUACUAUGACUCUAUUAAAUGGACUGUCUGCUAUUUGAUGGAUCCUUAGAGGCUUCUGAUGGGUGUGGCCAGAGAGCUCUGUUUGGUUCUUCAGGGUUAAGGGUGUGUCAAAUGUGACACACCCAGGUUAGGCAUAAUACAUCUCUCUCUCUCUCUCUCUCUCUCUGAUUCAGAAGGGAAGUAAUUCUACACAGCUUCCUUUUCAGUACAGGUGCAUAGAUUCUAUGGCUAGGGUUCUGAGCCAUGGGCACCGGUGCCCUCCACAUAGGUCCCCAUGAACCAGUAGUUCCAGAAGAGUUUCCUCUGCUGUUUCUUCCCUAACUCUUCCUUGAACCUGCAGUAUCUCCACUUUUAUUAAACUGUCUUUUCCCAGACUAUCGAUGUGCUCCCUUCCUAUUCUGCCAUCUUGCCCUCCUCCCAUUUCUGGCUUCUGUACCUCUGCUUGCUUGAUAAUGGCCAAGGCCACCAGACUAUGGUUUCUCCUGUCUUGUCCUGGAUGCAACCACAAGAUCACACAGGUGGCACCAAGGUCAAUGGCACCAUGUUUGACCCUGACUUGGAACAAUCAAAUAAUUAAAUCAUUACAUUUUUCAAUAAGGUUACAAAGAAACUGGCUGAUUGGCUAAGUGCUUCUCCCUUCUGUAUGUCUGAGUCUUGCUUGCACAAUUCUGCACAUGUAAUUAAAUGACUGAUAAAAAGUAGGUUUUGCCUUUACAAACUCUCUGCACCUGCAACUCUCUGCUGGCUUCUCGAGACUUGCUCUGAGAGGGCAGUCACCAGCUGGACACUAAAUAUUCCUAAUUUGACCUCAAAAGUCUCACUGUGUUUUUAAUCUCUACACCCCAAAACUAAAGAAGCUCAGGUAUGGAUGUGGUUGUAGCUGUAGCUCUCCAGGGCCUGAUGUCACAAAGGGAAUGAAGUGCCCCUGGCACCAAGUGACACUUUCUUGGGGCUGGGAAUCCACACACAUCCCUGGUCACUAUCAGUUUAUGUUGGCUUUGGGCAAGCUGAUGGAGAUCCACUCAGCAUCUCCAAUAGCCAGGAAUACGAAGAACAGCAACAAAAAGACAACUCAUUUGCCCCUCAACAGCCUUUUGUUCAUUUGUUCCAGGACCACACCCAUAGCACCAGCAGUAACCAAAACACACAGGCGAAUGUGGAUGUGGAAGGAAGAAGACUCUGAUGGCACAGGCAGAGGCUGGGAAGUUUCAACUGCAAAGCAACAACCCAAGGGUGGAGGCAAGCGCCAGAAACUAGAAACAGGCCGUGGAGGACCGUACGCUGGAGCCUUCAGAUAGAGCAGGGAGCAGCAGGCCUCUGACAUCAGGCCCUGCCCUCCAGAACUGUGAGCAACCUUCCUGCUUUAAAGCCAGGCACAUGGCAGUAAGGAGCUAUGGUGACUCGAGGAAGCUGGUACAGGCCCCUGCAGGGGGUUCUCAGUUGUUCUUUUGAAUUCCAGAAACUUGAGUCACUCCUCUCAUAAGAUAUGUUCCCUUACUGUUAUUUCCUAUCCUGUGAAAUACUUCUGUUGAUGUUUGUAGUGCUUAACACAUAGAUUCCUUCACUAAUUUGAGUAUAGUGUGAACGCCGAGUGCUCUGGGCCUAGUGAGUUCCAUGUCUGUACUUCCUCAGAGGUAGUGUCAGCUGGCUGCAGUUUUUCUUGGUGAUUCUGCUUGUGUUGGGAGAUCCUGAUCCUGAGCACUCCCAGGGUCAGUGCUUCCUGUGGAGGAGGCCCCCCUGGACUCAGAACAAGUUGUGACAACAAGAGUGACAUUUGCCAGACAAGGUCCCAGAGUCUGAUUGCCUAGGGUGUUCAUUGGUGCCUUCUUCCCAGUACAUGGGUAGAUUCUAGUACCCCAGGAGGAGCAAGAGGUUUGUGUAUGUGAGAAGUCCAGCACCUCGAGCCUCUCUCAUUAGAGAAGGGUGCACCUGUGCAUUUCUAGAUUCCCAGGAGUGUGCCAGAGCUUCCUGAGUCCCCUACAGACAAUCAUGACUUAGCUCUGCUGCAAUAUUGUUGGGUUAGUUUGUCCUUUAUCUAAGGGAGUUGUCAACUACUAAGAGUAUCCACAAAGUUAAGCAGUGGCUGUGAUAGUUUUGAGAGUUUUGCUGGGGACCAUUGUUUUUUUUUUUAACUUUUAUUUAAUGAAUAUGAAUUUCCAAAGUACGACUUAUGGAUUACAAUGGCUUCCCCCUCAUACCGUCCCUCCCACCCACAACCCUCCCCCCUCCCACUCCCUCUCCCCUUCCAUUCACAUCAAGAUCCAUUUUCAAUUAUCUUAACAUAGAGAAGAUCAGCAUAGCACACAUUAAGUAAGGAUUUCAACAGUUUGCUCCCACACAGAAACAUAAAGUGAAAAAUAAUAGAUGAUUUUUUUAAAUGAUGAUGAAAUCAGAUCAGACCUAUUGUCAUGUUUAAUCCCAGUGAGAGUCAAGUUGGGAAUUGAUAUUUUUUUUUUUUACAGAAGAUCAGUUUAGUAUGCAUGAAGUAAAGAUUUCAACAGUCUGCACCCCAUAGAAACACAAAGUGAAAUAUAUUGUUUGAGUACUCGUUAUAGCAUUAAAUCUCAAUGUACAGCACAUUAAGGACAGAGAUCCUACAUGAGGAGUAAGUGCACCGUGACUCCUGUAGUUGACUUUACAAAUUGACACUCCUGUCUAUGGCAUCAGUAAUCUCCCUAUGCUCCAGUCAUGAGUUUCCAAGGCUAUGGAAGCCCUCUGAGUUCUCCGACUCUUAUCUUGUUUAGACAAGGUCAUAAUCAAAGUGGAGGUUCUCUCCUCCCUUCAGAGGAAGGUACCUCCUUCUUUGAAGACCUGUUGUUUCCACUGGGAUCUCACUCACAGAGAUCUUUUUGUCAGUGUCUUGGCUUUCCAUGCCUGAAAUACUCUCAUGGGCUUUUCAGCCAGAUCGGAAUGCCUUUAGGGCUGAUUCUGAGGCCAGAGUGCUAUUUAGGACAUCUGCCAUUCUAUGAGUCUGCUGAGUAUCUCACUUCCCAUGUUGGAUCACUCUCCCCUUUAUUUAUUCUAUUGGUUAUUGUUAGCAGGCACUAGACUUGUUUAUGUGAUCCCUUUGACUCUUAGUCCUUUCAUUAUGAUCAAUUGUGAACUGAAAUUGAUCACUUGGAAUAGUGAGAUGGCAUUGGUACAUGCCACCUUGAUGGGAUUGAAUUGGAGUCCCCUGGUAUGUUUCUAACUCUACCAUUUGGGGCAAGUCAGCUUGAGCAUGUCCCAAAUUAUACCUCUCUUCCCUCUCUUAUUCCCACUAUUAUGUUUAACAGGGAUCACAUUUCAGUUAAUUUUCAACACUUAACAAUAACUGUGUGAUAAUUACAGAAUUAAACCAGUCAUAUUAAGUAGAACAGACAAAAAAACUACUAAGAGGGAUAAUGUAUUAAGUUGUUCAUUAACAGUCAGGGCUAUGCUGAUCAAGUCACCAUUUCUCAUAGUGUCUAUUUCACUUCAACAGGUUUCCUUUUUGGUGUUCAGUCAGUUGUCACCGAUCAGGGAGAACAUAUGGUAUUUGUCCCUUUGGGACUGGCUUACUUCACUCAGCAUGAUGUGUUCCAGAUUCCUCCAUUUUGUUGCAAAUGACUGGAUUUCAUUGUUUCUUACUGCGGUAUAGUAUUCUAAAGAGUACAUAUCCCAUAAUUUCUUUAUCCAGUCUACCGUUGAUGGGCAUUUAGGUUGGUUCCAGGUCUUGGCUAUUGUGAAUUGUGCUGCAAUAAACAUUAGGGUGCAGACCGCUUUUUUGUUUGCCAAUUUAAUUUCCUUUGGGUAAAUUCCAAGGAGUGGUAUGGCUGCGUCGAACGGUAGGGUUAUCUUCAGGUUUCUGAGGAAUCUCCAGACUGACUUCCAUAGUGGCUUGACCAGUUUGCAUUCCCACCAACAGUGGGUUAGUGUCCCUUUUUCCCCACAUCCUCGCCAGCAUCUGUUGUUGGUAGAUUUCUGAAUGUGAGCCAUUCUAACCGGGGUGAGGUGAAACCUCAUUGUGGUUUUGAUUUGCAUUUCCCUGAUUGCUAAUGACCUUGAGCAUUUUUUCAUGUGUCUGUUGGCCAUUUGGAUUUCCUCUUUCGAAAAAUGUCUAUUGAUGUCUUUGGCCCAUCUCUUAAGUGGGUUGUUGGUUUUGUUUUUGUGGGGUUUCUUGAUCUCUUUGUAGAUUCUGGUUAUUAACCCUUUAUCUAUUGCAUAGUUUGCAAAUAUUUUUUCCCAUUCUGUCGGUUGUCUCUUCACUCUCCUGACUGUUUCUUUUGCAGUACAGAAACUUCUCAACUUGAUGCAAUCCCAAUAGUUGAUUUUGGCUUUGACUGCCUGUGCCUCCUGGGUCUUUUCCAGAAAUUCUUUGCCUGUGCCAAUAUCUUGAAGGGUUUCUCCAAUGUUCUCUAAUAACUUAAUCGUGUCAGGACGUAGAUUUAGGUCUUUAAUCCACGUUGAGUGGAUUUUUGUGUAAGGUGUAAGGUAGGGGUCUUGCUUCAUGCUUCUGCAUGUGGAAAUCCAGUUUUCCCAGCACCAUUUAUUGAAUAGACUGUCUUUGCUCCAGGAAUUGGUUUUAGAACCUUGGUCAAAUAUAAGUUGGCUGUAGCUGUUUGGGUUGAUUUCUGGUGUUUCAAUUCUGUUCCAUUGGUCUAUCCAUCUGUUUCUGUACCAAUACCAUGCUGUUUUGAUUACAACUGCCCUGUAGUAUGUCCUGAAAUCUGGUAUUGUGAUGCCUCUGGCUUUGUUUUUGUUGUACAAGAUUGCUUUAGCUAUUCGAGGUCUCUUGUGCCUCCAUAUGAUUUUCAGCAUCAUUUUUUCUAGAUCUGUGAAGAAUGUCUUUGGUAUCCUGAUUGGGAUUGCAUUGAAUCUAUAAAUUGCUUUUGGGAGAAUGGACAUUUUGAUGAUGUUGAUUCUUCCAAUCCAUGAGCAUGGAAGAUUUUUCCAUUUCUUGGUAUCCUCUUCUAUUUCUUUCUUUAGGAUUUUGUAAUUCUCAUCGUAGAGAUCUUUAACGUCCUUGGUUAAGUUUAUUCCAAGGUAUGUGAUUGUUUUUGUAGCUAUUGUGAAUGGGAUUGAUCUUAGCAGUUCUUUCUCAGUCAUGGCAUUGCUUGUGUAUACAAAGGCUGUUGAUUUUUGUGCAUUGAUUUUAUAUCCUGCCACUUUGCCAAACUCCUCUAUGAGUUCCAAUAGUCUCUUAGUAAAGUUCUUUGGAUCCCCUAAGUAAAGAAUCAUAUCGUCUGCAAAGAGGGAUUGCUUGACUUCUUCCUUCUCAAUUUGUAUUCCUUUGAUUUCUUUUUCUUGUCUGAUGGCUCUGGCUAAAACUUCCAGAACUAUGUUCAAUAGAAGUGGUGAGAGUGGGCAUCCCUGUCUGGUGCCAGAUCUCAGUGGAAAUGCUUCCAACUUUUCCCCAUUCAAUAGGAUGCUGGCUGUGGGCUUUUCACAAAUUGCUUUGAUUAUAUUGAGGAAUGUUCCUUCUAUUCCCAAUUUGCUUAGAGUUUUCAUCAUGAAAGGGUGUUGAAUUUUAUCAAAUGCUUUCUCUGCAUCAAUUGAGAUAAUCAUAUGGUUUUUCUUCUGCAGUCUGUUAAUGUGGUGAAUCACAUUGAUUGAUUUGCAAAUGUUGAACCAUCCCUGCAUACCAGGGAUAAAUCCCACUUGGUCUGGGUGGAUGAUUUUCCUGAUGUGUUGUUGUACUCUAUUUGCCAGAAUUUUAUUGAGGAUUUUUGCGUCUAUGUUCAUCAGGGAUAUUGGUCUAUAAUUUUCUUUCAGUGCUGCAUCUUUCUCUGGCUUAGGGAUUAAGGUGAUGCUGGCUUCAUAGAAAGAAUUUGGGAGGAUUCCCUCUUUUUCGAUUGUUCUGAAUAGUUUGAGAAGAAAUGGAAUCAGUUCUUCUUUAAAUGUCUGGUAGAAUUCAGCAGUGAAUCCAUCCGGUCCUGGGCUUUUCUUUGUUGGGAGGACCUUAAUUACUGUUUCAAUUUCUCUUUCAGUUAUGGGUCUAUUUAGGUUUUCUAUGUCUUCAUGGUUCAAUUUAGGUAGAUUGCAUGUGUCCAGGAAUCUAUCCAUUUCUGAUAGAUUUUCUUGUUUGCUGGCAUACAAAUCCUUGUAGUAAUUUCUGAUGAUUCUUUUUAUUUCUGUGGUGUCUGUUGUUAUGUUUCCUUUUUCAUCUCUGAUUUUAUUGAUUUGGGUCUUUUCUCUUCUUUUUUUAGUUAGUUGGGCCAAUGGGGUAUCCAUUUUGUUUAUUUUUUCCGAAAACCAGAUCUUCGUUUGGAUGAUUUUUUGUAAUGUUUUUUUUGGAUUCAAUCCUGUUAAUUUCUUCUCUGAUUUUAAUUAUUUCUCUUCUCCUACUAGGUUUGGGUCUGGUUUGCUGCAAAUUUUCUAGGUCCUUGAGAUGCGCUGAAAGCUCAUUCAUUUGGCGCCUUUCCAAUUUCUUGAUAUAGGCACCUGUUGCUAUAAACUUGCCUCUCAAUACUGCUUUUGCUGUAUCCCAUAAGUUUUGAUAUGUUGUGUUGUUAUCCUCAUUUACUUCCAGAAAGUUUCUGAUUUCUCUUUUGAUUUCUUGAAUGACCCAGUGUUCAUUCAGGAGCAUGUUGUUCAGUCUCCAUGUGUUUGCAUACUUUCUGGGGUUUCCUGAGUUGCUAAUUUCCAGCUUCAUUCCACUGUGAUCCGAGAAGCUGCAUGGUAUGAUUCUAAUUCUUUUAAAUUUGCUGAGACUUGCUUUAUGGCCUAGUAUGUGAUCAAUCCUAGAGAAGGUUCCAUGCGCUGUUGAGAAGAAUGUAAAGUCUUUAGAUGCAGGAUUGAAAGUUCUGUAGAUAUCUGUUAGAUCCAUUUGCGCAAUAGUGUCGAUUAAAUCUGCUGUUUCCUUGUUGAUCUUCUGUCUGGAUGAUCUAUCUAUUUCUGAGAGUGGAGUAUUCAAGUCCCCCAGUACUAUUGUAUUGGAAUCUAAGUCUCCCUUUAAGUCCCUUAACAUAUCUUUUAAAUAGACCGGUGCCCUGUAAUUAGGUGCAUAUACAUUUAUAAUAGUUACAUCUUCCUGUUGAAUUGAACCCUUAAUCAUUAUAUAGUGCCCCUCUUUGUCUCUCUUAACAGUUUUUGUAUUAAAGUUUAUUUUGUCUGAUAUUAAUAUGGCUACACCUGCUUUUUUUUGGUUUCUGUUGGCAUGGAAUAUCUUUUUCCAACCUUUCACUUUCAGUCUGCCUGCAUCUUUGUUAGAGAGAUGUGUUUCUUGUAGGCAACAAAUAGUUGGGUGUUGUUCUUUAAGCCAGUCAGCCAGUCUGUGUCUUUUAACUGGACAGUUCAGGCCAUUCACGUUUGACUUUGCCCUGCCAUUUUCCUGGAGAUAUUUUCUAGUAUAUGCUUUGAGCUUCCCAUGCUCUUUUACUGGUAGGUGUUCUUCCUUUCCCUUCUUUCAUAUUGAUGGCCGUGUUUCUGUGUUUCUGAGUGUAGCACAUCUUUAAGUAUCUUUUGCAGGGCCGGACGAGUGGCCACAAGUCUUUCAAUUUCUGUUUGCUAUGAAAGGUCUUUAUUUCACCUUCAUUCACAAAUGAGAGCUUGGCAGGAUAUAAUAUUCUGGGCUGGCAAUUUUUCUCUCUUAGCACCUGUGCUAUGUCUCGCCAUUCCCUCCUAG